rnacentral:rRNA from 1 species
UACGUAGGGGGCAAGCGUUAUCCGGAUUUACUGGGUGUAAAGGGAGCGUAGACGGCCAGACAAGUCUGAAGUGAAAGUCCAGCGCUUAACGCUGGAAGUGCUUUGGAAACUGCCGGGCUGGAGUGCAGGAGGGGCAGGCGGAAUUCCUAGUGUAGCGGUGAAAUGCGUAGAUAUUAGGAGGAACACCAGUGGCGAAGGCGGCCUGCUGGACUGCAACUGACGUUGAGGCUCGAAGGCGUGGGGAGCAAACAGG